rnacentral:rRNA from 1 species
AUUGAACGCUGGCGGCAGGCCUAACACAUGCAAGUCGAGCGGGAACUUCGGUUCUAGCGGCGGACGGGUGAGUAAUGCGUAGGAAGCUACCCGACAGAGGGGGAUACCAGUUGGAAACGACUGUUAAUACCGCAUAAUGUCUACGGACCAAAGUGUGGGACCUUCGGGCCACAUGCUGUCGGAUGCGCCUACGUGGGAUUAGCUAGUUGGUGAGGUAAUGGCUCACCAAGGCGACGAUCCCUAGCUGGUUUGAGAGGAUGAUCAGCCACACUGGAACUGAGACACGGUCCAGACUCCUACGGGAGGCAGCAGUGGGGAAUAUUGGACAAUGGGCGCAAGCCUGAUCCAGCCAUGCCGCGUGUGUGAAGAAGGCCUUCGGGUUGUAAAGCACUUUCAGUAGGGAGGAAGGAGUUGUCGUUAAUAGCUGCAACUUUUGACGUUACCUACAGAAGAAGCACCGGCUAACUCUGUGCCAGCCGCCGCAGUAACAC